UGCCAGCAGCCGCGGUAAUACGGAGGGUGCAAGCGUUGUUCGGAAUUAUUGGGCGUAAAGAGCAUGUAGGCGGCUCGCCAAGUCUGAUGUGAAAGCCCUGGGCUCAACCCAGGAAGUGCAUUGGAAACUGGCGAACUUGAGUACGGGAGAGGAAAGUGGAAUUUCGAGUGUAGGGGUGAAAUCCGUAGAUAUUCGAAGGAACACCAGUGGCGAAGGCGGCUUUCUGGACCGAUACUGACGCUGAGAUGCGAAAGCGUGGGGAGCGGACAGGAUUAGAUA
rnacentral:rRNA from 1 species